rnacentral:lncRNA from 1 species
UAUUCCCAAACUGGGAAACUGGAAUCACCUGAUUAGAAAGUGGGAUAACUUCUUCAUCCUAACUCCUACGAGAUUUAUUCAACUUCCUGGUGUUUCUCCACCACUUUAUGUAUCCAAAUCAAGCUUCUUACAGAGUGAUUCAUCCUGGUGUUAUUGGAACGACGAAGAAGCUGUCCUAUUCCCAAACUGGGAAACUGGAAUCACCUGAUUAGAAAGUGGGAUAACUUCUUCAUCCCAACUCUUAU